GUUUUCCCAGUCCGUUCUGUCCGCGUUCGUUUACCGCCCGUCUUUUCCAAGCCCUACGCAUACGAUUUGUUCUCCGAGCGCGUUCGUGUCGAUCGCCAUCGCGGUAACAAAUAGGUACGGCCGUCGAAGUACGUUUUUUUUCCGUUUCGUGUUUUUUUACGACCGUUCUUCGAAAGCCGUACACAAAUUCGGUUCGCGUGUUUUGGGUCGCGGACGCUGACCGACGUACGAUGCCUAUUCGUUACUUUUGUCUUCUGCCGCCGCAUCGUUCUCGACCGUCUACGUCGGCGAAAUAUGGUCUUUGGAGAGCGCUGAUGUCUGUUUCGACGCACAGUUUCAUUUACUGAUGUACACUAUUUUUGGUACUGGUUUGUUCUAGCCCCGCCACAGCGAAUGUAAAAAUUGUAAAAAUUUACAACUACUGGAAUAGCUGAUUUAAGAAAAAGACAAUGCUAAAACUGGACAAACAUUUCAGUGAAAAAUCUCAUGUCCAACAAGAUCGGCUUAUACUGAGGCGUAGAGCAUAUGUGGAAAUGACCGAAAUUUAGCAUUAGCCAAACAGAAACUACUGCAAGGUAGACUCAGCGUUGAAGAGUUCCUAGCCUACACUGGACAUUUACAUAGAUUAUG